CAGAGAAGGCCUUGCAGGCCCUGACGGCCCGCCACUGCUAUUUUCACUCCGUAUCCCUCCUUUUUGGCUCGUGCUCAAACAGGGUGAAGUUCUCCUAUUUGGCCAGAAGAUGGCAGUAUAGGCUAAGAUUGAUUUAUGCGGGACUGUUUUAGCUGUGACUGUAACACAUAUAGAGGCAUAUAGAGUAUUGUAUUAUGAAAACACCAGAGUAAGAGUGAGUGUAUUUUAUGAAAAUGUUCUUUCUUUCCUUUUUUUACAUUUUUUUUCUGGACUGGUCAUCACUGGCUGAGGUCUGCUGUCCUCUGCCUUCCAGUCGAUGAGGGUGGACAGGGACUGGUUGACAUCUGCUCACAUGUGGCGACUUUUAGGCUGAGGACCGUUCAGCGCCUCCUCUACCAUCCAGAUCUGUUAUGGACGGAUACUGCCCGUGUGCUGCUUAGGAAAUCCGGUAACCUGGGGAGGCGUUUGGUGGCACGUUUGGGGGUGGAGUUCAGUUUUAAUAAACUUACUAAUUCUGUUUGAAAGAAUCUUGGCGUUUAAAAAUGUUUUAUGUUCUGUUAGUGAAGAUUCUUUGGUGUUGAAUUUUUGAAUUGUUUGCUGGGGUGCAGUGGUAGAGCGGUCGACUCCUGAUCAGAAGUGAGCAGGUUCGACUCCGCCUUGCCCGCCCAUGUGUCGAAGUAAGGCACUGAACCAUGAAUUACCUCUGGUGGGAGGUUGGCGCCAGUGUUCAGCAGUAGAGCCACCACCAGUGUGUGAAUGUGCGUGUGAAUGGGUGAAUGGCUCUGUGACUGUGAAGCGCUUUGGGCCCUUGAAGGAGGGUAGAAAGUGCUAUACAAGUAUACGCCAUUUCCCUUUCUUAUUUCAAUUUGAUUCUCUCUUCAUGUAAUACUUAAUGUGUAAAAUGCUGCUCGAUAUUAAAGGUGUUUUUGAACUCAA